UAUUACUUGUAAUGCCCCAUUUUUCUGUC
rnacentral:sRNA from 1 species